GCCGGGCGCAGUGGUGGGCACCUGUAAUCCCAGCUACUUGGGAGGCUGAGGCAGGAGAAUUACUUGAACCCAGGAGGUGGAGGUUGCAGUGAGCCAAGGUCAUGCCACUGCACUCUAGCCUGGGUGACAGAGCAAGACUCUGUCUCAA
rfam:Pan troglodytes isolate Yerkes chimp pedigree #C0471 (Clint) chromosome 20, whole genome shotgun sequence.